rnacentral:tRNA from 1 species
UUAUAUUGGCUGGUUGUGCGCUCGGGCUUCAAAC